AACACAUGCAAGUCGAGGGGCAUCAGGACUUAAGCUUGCUUUCUUUGCUGGCGACCGGCGCACGGGUGAGUAACACGUAUCCAACCUGCCCUUUACUCGGGGAUAGCCUUUCGAAAGAAAGAUUAAUACCCGAUAGCAUAAUGAUUCCGCAUGGUUUCAUUAUUAAAGGAUUCCGGUAAAGGAUGGGGAUGCGUUCCAUUAGGUUGUUGGUGGGGUAACGGCCCACCAAGCCUUCGAUGGAUAGGGGUUCUGAGAGGAAGGUCCCCCACAUUGGAACUGAGACACGGUCCGAACUCCUACGGGAGGCAGCAGUGAGGAAUAUUGGUCAAUGGGCGCUAGCCUGAACCAGCCAAGUAGCGUGAAGGAUGAAGGCUCUAUGGGUCGUAAACUUCUUUUAUAUAAGAAUAAAGUGCAGUAUGUAUACUGUUUUGUAUGUAUUAUAUGAAUAAGGAUCGGCUAACUCCGUGCCAGCAGCCGCGGUAAUACGGAGGAUCCGAGCGUUAUCCGGAUUUAUUGGGUUUAAAGGGAGCGUAGGUGGACUGGUAAGUCAGUUGUGAAAGUUUGCGGCUCAACCGUAAAAUUGCAGUUGAUACUGUCGGUCUUGAGUACAGUAGAGGUGGGCGGAAUUCGUGGUGUAGCGGUGAAAUGCUUAGAUAUCACGAAGAACUCCGAUUGCGAAGGCAGCUCACUGGACUGCAACUGACACUGAUGCUCGAAAGUGUGGGUAUCAAACAGGAUUAGAUACCCUGGUAGUCCACACAGUAAACGAUGAAUACUCGCUGUUUGCGAUAUACAGUAAGCGGCCAAGCGAAAGCAUUAAGUAUUCCACCUGGGGAGUACGCCGGCAACGGUGAAACUCAAAGGAAUUGACGGGGGCCCGCACAAGCGGAGGAACAUGUGGUUUAAUUCGAUGAUACGCGAGGAACCUUACCCGGGCUUAAAUUGCAGUGGAAUGAUGUGGAAACAUGUCAGUGAGCAAUCACCGCUGUGAAGGUGCUGCAUGGUUGUCGUCAGCUCGUGCCGUGAGGUGUCGGCUUAAGUGCCAUAACGAGCGCAACCCUUAUCUUUAGUUACUAACAGGUCAUGCUGAGGACUCUAGAGAGACUGCCGUCGUAAGAUGUGAGGAAGGUGGGGAUGACGUCAAAUCAGCACGGCCCUUACGUCCGGGGCUACACACGUGUUACAAUGGGGGGUACAGAAGGCAGCUAGCGGGUGACCGUAUGCUAAUCCCAAAAGCCUCUCUCAGUUCGGAUCGAAGUCUGCAACCCGACUUCGUGAAGCUGGAUUCGCUAGUAAUCGCGCAUCAGCCACGGCGCGGUGAAUACGUUCCCGGGCCUUGUACACACCGCCCGUCAAGCCACGGGAGCCGGGGGUACCUGAAGUACGUAACAGCAAGGAUCGUCCUAGGGUAAAACUGGUGACUGGGGCUAAGA
rnacentral:rRNA from 1 species